rnacentral:piRNA from 1 species
UGGGCUGUCUUUCUGGUUUGACUGAUAGGC